UACGUAGGGCGCAAGCGUUGUCCGGAAUUAUUGGGCGUAAAGAGCUCGUAGGCGGCUUGUCACGUCGGAUGUGAAAGCCCGGGGCUUAACUCCGGGUCUGCAUUCGAUACGGGCAGGCUAGAGUUCGGUAGGGGAGAUCGGAAUUCCUGGUGCAGCGGUGAAAUGCGCAGAUAUCAGGAGGAACACCGGUGGCGAAGGCGGGUCUCUGGGCAGUAACUGACGCUGAGGAGCGAAAGCGUGGGGAGCGAACAGG
rnacentral:rRNA from 1 species